rnacentral:rRNA from 1 species
AUUGAACGCUGGCGGCAUGCCUUACACAUGCAAGUCGAACGGCAGCACGGGUGCUUGCCCCUGGUGGCGAGUGGCGAACGGGUGAGUAAUACAUCGGAACAUGUCCUGUAGUGGGGGAUAGCCCGGCGAAAGCCGGAUUAAUACCGCAUACGAUCUACGGAUGAAAGCGGGGGACCUUCGGGCCUCGCGCUAUAGGGUUGGCCGAUGGCUGAUUAGCUAGUUGGUGGGGUAAAGGCCUACCAAGGCGACGAUCAGUAGCUGGUCUGAGAGGACGACCAGCCACACUGGGACUGAGACACGGCCCAGACUCCUACGGGAGGGAGCAGUGGGGAAUUUUGGACAAUGGGCGAGAGCCUGAUCCAGCAAUGCGGCGUGUGUGAAGAAGGCCUUCGGGUUAUAAAGCACUUUUGUCCGGAAAGAAAUCCUUGGCCCUAAUACGGUCGGGGGAUGACGGUACCGGAAGAAUAAGCACCGGCUAACUACGUG